GAUGAACGCUCGCUACAGGCUUAACACAUGCAAGUCGCGGGGCGGCAUGGGGGUUGCUUGCAAUCCCCGAUGGCGACCGGCGCACGGGUGAGUAACGCGUAUUCAACCUGCCCUUCACCACGGGAUAACCCGGCGAAAGUCGGACUAAUACCGUAUGUUGUCCAUUGACGGCAUCCGAUUUGGACGAAAGGCUUGGCGGUGAGGGAUGGGGAUGCGUCCGAUUAGCCAGACGGCGGGGUAACGGCCCACCGUGGCUACGAUCGGUAGGGGUUCUGAGAGGAAGGUCCCCCACACGGGAACUGAGACACGGUCCAGACUCCUACGGGAGGCAGCAGUGAGGAAUAUUGGUCAAUGGGCGUAAGCCUGAACCAGCCAAGUAGCGUGCAGGAUGACGGCCCUAUGGGUUGUAAACUGCUUUUAUGCGGGGAUAAAGUGGCCCACGUGUGGGCUUUUGCAGGGACCGAAUGAAUAAGGACCGGCUAAUUCCG
rnacentral:rRNA from 1 species